ACAUUCAAUUAGGAUUGAUCCAAAAUGGAUGUUUAAAGCCCCAACAUUACCUCCAAAAAUCUCAUCAGGCGUACGAAAUGCAAUUUGAGUCCUGAUCAACAUCUGGAAAAGAGAGGCAUCACAACCAUGCCAUCAUUCUAAUUUAAAGUUUUAAGCAAGUGUGGUUAUGAUGGCGUUGUUGCUCAUAUAUUCUGUCUGAGGAGGCUGCCGACUUUGUAUAAAAAGGAUAACUGCAGAUAAAGAGGGAAAUUGUCACAGUUAGCAGUUCACAUGAAAUUAUUGCAUUAUGGCUAACACCUUUGCAGACCCUUUGCAAUUAGACGAGGCUUCGUCAUCUAUGCAAAGUAACAAACGUGGUUUUACUCGGACAGACUAUAAAAAAGUUAGAAAAGAGAUGGCAGGURAUAGAUAGAGUAUCAAGUUUUGCGAGGAGUUUAGGGAGGAUGUUAGAAAAUGGAUUUAUAGAUUGAUUGAA